UGAUAUGCCUAGAGAUCAUGGUUUACC
rnacentral:piRNA from 1 species